rnacentral:rRNA from 1 species
CAAUGCCUCCGAAAGGCAGCAGUGGGGAAUAUUGCACAAUGGGGGAAACCCUGAUGCAGCAACGCCGCGUGGGUGAAGAAGUAUUUCGGUAUGUAAAGCCCUAUCAGCAGGGAAGAAGAAUGACGGUACCUGACUAAGAAGCACCGGCUAAAUACGUGCCAGCAGCCGCGGUAAUACGUAUGGUGCAAGCGUUAUCCGGCUUUACUGGGUGUAAAGGGAGCGCAGGCGGCACGCUAAGCCUGAUGUGAAAUCCCGCGGCCCACCCGCGGGAGUGCAUUGGGA